CCUACGGGAGGCAGCAGUGGGGAAUUUUGGACAAUGGGGGAAACCCUGAUCCAGCCAUUCCGCGUGAGUGAAGAAGGCCUUCGGGUUGUAAAGCUCUUUCGGCAGGAACGAAACGGCGGACUCUAACAUAGUCUGUCAAUGACGGUACCUGAAGAAGAAGCACCGGCUAACUACGUGCCAGCAGCCGCGGUAAUACGUAGGGUGCGAGCGUUAAUCGGAAUUACUGGGCGUAAAGCGUGCGCAGGCGGCUUUGUAAGACGGAUGUAAAAUCCCUGGGCUUAACCUAGGAACUGCUUUCGUGACUGAAAAGCUAGAGUGCGGCAGAGAGGGAUGAAAUUCCUGGUGUAGCAGUAAAAUGCGUAGAGAUCAGGAGGAACACCGAGGGCGAAGGCAGCCCCCGGGGUUGACACUGACGCUCAGGCACAAAAGCGUGGGGAGCAAACGGGAUUAGAUACCCCGUUAGU
rnacentral:rRNA from 1 species